AUUGAACGCUGGCGGAAUGCUUUACACAUGCAAGUCGAACGGCAGCACGGACUUCGGUCUGGUGGCGAGUGGCGAACGGGUGAGUAAUGUAUCGGAACGUGCCCAGUCGUGGGGGAUAACGUAGUGAAAAUUACGCUAAUACCGCAUACGAUCUAUGGAUGAAAGCGGGGGAUCGCAAGACCUCGCGCGAUUGGAGCGGCCGAUAUCAGAUUAGGUAGUUGGUGGGGUAAAGGCCCACCAAGCCAACGAUCUGUAGCUGGUCUGAGAGGACGACCAGCCACACUGGACCGGGGACACGGUCCAGACUCCUACGGGAGGCAGCAGUGGGGAAUUUUGGACAAUGGGCGAAAGCCUGAUCCAGCCAUUCCGCGUGCAGGAUGAAGGCCCUCGGGUUGUAAACUGCUUUUGUACAGAACGAAAAGGUUUCUACUAAUACUAGGAGCUCAUGACGGUACUGUAAGAAUAAGCACCGGCUAACUACGUGCCAGCCGCCGCGGUAA
rnacentral:rRNA from 1 species